rnacentral:rRNA from 1 species
AUACGGAGGGUGCAAGCGUUAAUCGGAAUUACUGGGCGUAAAGGGUUCGUAGGCGGUUAUUUAAGUCAGAUGUGAAAGCCCCGGGCUCAACCUGGGAAUUGCAUCUGAUACUGGGUAACUAGAGUUUAAGAGAGGAGUGUGGAAUUUCCGGUGUAGCGGUGAAAUGCAUAGAGAUCGGAAGGAACAUCAGUGGCGAAGGCGGCACUCUGGCUUAAAACUGACGCUGAGGAACGAAAGCGUGGGUAGCAAACAGGAUUAGAAACCCCAGUAGUCC